rnacentral:tRNA from 1 species
UGGUGAUCUAGAUCAGGUUUCGAUCAGUCUAAAUCAGUGUUUGAAAAAACGUCGAGUCAAACCGGACUCGCCCGGUUCGACUCGGGAAUCGCCAU